rnacentral:rRNA from 1 species
GACGAACGCUGGCGGCGUGCUUAACACAUGCAAGUCGAACGGAAAGGCCCUGCUUUUGUGGGGUGCUCGAGUGGCGAACGGGUGAGUAACACGUGAGUAACCUGCCCUUGACUUUGGGAUAACUUCUGGAAACUGGGGCUAAUACCGGAUAGGAGCUCCUGCUGCAUGGUGGGGGUUGGAAAGUUUCGGCGGUUGGGGAUGGACUCGCGGCUUAUCAGCUUGUUGGUGGGGUAGUGGCUUACCAAGGCUUUGACGGGUAGCCGGCCUGUGAGGGUGACCGGCAACAUUGGGACUGAGAUACGGCGCAGACGCCAACGGGAGGCAGCAGUGGGGAAUAUUGCACAAUGGGGGGAAGCCUGAUGCAGCAACGCCGCGUGCGGGAUGACGGCCUUCGGGUUGUAAACCGCUUUCGCCUGUGACGAAGCGUGAGUGACGGUAAUGGGUAAAGAAGCACCGGCUAACUACGUG